CCUCACGCGUCGCCAGCGCCUCUACCCCACACGCAGCGCCUCCGCCUCUCCCUCUCGCGCCGUCGCCGCCUUUCCAUGUUGCCGUACGCCGUCGCCUCUCGCUCUUCAAGAUCUCAGUUUUACUCCACUCCGGCGGCUGGAUCCGAAGCGUGGCGGCUCGAUCCAGCAGCUGUGGUACGCCAGCCCCUCCUCUUCAACGCCAGCAGCUGCAGUACACCACCCCCUCCUCUCCUCCUCGCUGUUGCUCAUCCCCGACAUGAUUAAUCAUAUUUAACUUGGCCGCAGGUGCCUAGCCGCAGCAGAGCAUGUUCAAGCAGUAGCAAUAGCAGUAGCUUCAAAUAAGGCGCCUCCCCGACGUGCGGCAGCAGCAGUAGCUUCGCCUUGCUAUCUUCUUCUCCUCUCUUCAAGCAGUAGAUCGAGCGAAGCAGAGCAGGUUCCCCUCUUCUCCUCUCUUUCUCUGUUUGAUGCAGCAGCCCCCUUGAACUUGAUUUGAUGUUUUUCUUCGAAUUGGACUUGUUUUAAUUUGGCAAGCCUUGUGUAGAUGCCUCAUCAACCUACUAGCUGCACCAACGAGAGGUGGGAGACGAGAUGUAGCAUCUUUGUACUGAUGCUCACAUUGCUCAAGUAAGUUAACACUGAAAUUCAGUUCACUUUCUUAAAUUCAGUUUGGAGUAAAAUUCAGUUGGG
rnacentral:lncRNA from 1 species